AUUAAGGUGGCAGAGCCCGGUAAUUGCAAAAGAUCUAAGCCCUUUUUCCCAGAGGUUCAAAUCCUCUCCUUAAUA
rnacentral:tRNA from 1 species